AUUGAACGCUGGCGGCAUGCCUUACACAUGCAAGUCGAACGGUAACAGGUCUUCGGAUGCUGACGAGUGGCGAACGGGUGAGUAAUACAUCGGAACGUGCCCGAUCGUGGGGGAUAACGAAGCGAAAGCUUUGCUAAUACCGCAUAAGAUCUACGGAUGAAAGCAGGGGACCGCAAGGCCUUGCGCGAACGGAGCGGCCGAUGGCAGAUUAGGUAGUGGGUGGGAUAAAAGCUUACCAAGCCGACGAUCUGUAGCUGGUCUGAGAGGACGACCAGCCACACUGGAACUGAGACACGGCCCAGACUCCUACGGGAGGCAGCAGUGGGGAAUUUUGGACAAUGGGCGAAAGCCUGAUCCAGCCAUGCCGCGUGCAGGAUGAAGGCCUUCGGGUUGUAAACUGCUUUUGUACGGAACGAAAAGACUCUUUCUAAUAAAGAGGGUCCAUGACGGUACCGUAAGAAUAAGCACCGGCUAACUACGUGCCAGCAGCCGCCGUAAGAC
rnacentral:rRNA from 1 species